rnacentral:rRNA from 1 species
UACGAAGGGGGCUAGCGUUGCUCGGAAUCACUGGGCGUAAAGGGUGCGUAGGCGGGUCUUUAGGUCAGGGGUGAAAUCCUGGAGCUCAACUCCAGAACUGCCUUUGAUACUGAGGAUCUUGAGUUCGGGAGAGGUGAGUGGAACUGCGAGUGUAGAGGUGAAAUUCGUAGAUAUUCGCAAGAACACCAGUGGCGAAGGCGGCUCACUGGCCCGGUACUGACGCUGAGGUGCGAAAGCGUGGGGAGCAAACAGG